rnacentral:rRNA from 1 species
UUAAAUUGAAGAGUUUGAUCAUGGCUCAGAUUGAACGCUGGCGGCAGGCCUAACACAUGCAAGUCGAACGGUAACAGGAAGAAGCUUGCUUCUUUGCUGACGAGUGGCGGACGGGUGAGUAAUGUCUGGGAAACUGCCUGAUGGAGGGGGAUAACUACUGGAAACGGUAGCUAAUACCGCAUAACGUCGCAAGACCAAAGAGGGGGACCUUCGGGCCUCUUGCCAUCGGAUGUGCCCAGAUGGGAUUAGCUUGUUGGUGGGGUAACGGCUCACCAAGGCGACGAUCCCUAGCUGGUCUGAGAGGAUGACCAGCCACACUGGAACUGAGACACGGUCCAGACUCCUACGGGAGGCAGCAGUGGGGAAUAUUGCACA